CACCUCGAUGUCGGCUCAUCACAUCCUGGGGCUGUAGUAGGUCCCAAGGGUUGGGCUGUUCGCCCAUUAAAGUGGUACGCGAGCUGGGUUCAGAACGUCGUGAGACAGUUCGGUCCCUAUCCGUCGCAGGCGUAGGAAAUUUGAGAAGACCUGUCCUUAGUACGAGAGGACCGGGAUGGACGUACCUCUGGUGUACCAGUUGUCCUGCCAAGGGCAUGGCUGGGUAGCUAUGUACGGAAUGGAUAAGCGCUGAAAGCAUCUAAGCGCGAAGCCAACUUCAAGAUAAGAUUUCCCACCGCAAGGGUAAGACCCCAGAAAGACUAUCUGGUUGAUAGGUCGAAGGUGUAAGUGCAGCAAUGUAUUUAGCUUAUCGAUACUAAUAGGUCGAGGACUUGACCAAU
rnacentral:rRNA from 1 species